CGCCUGUUUAACAAAAACAUCUCUUUUUAGACAAUAAAAAGGUAGGCCCUGUUCAAUGAGAUUUAAAUAACCGCAGUAUUUAAUUGUGCGAAGGUAGCAUAAUAAUUUUUUCUUUAAUUAAGAGGUGGAAUGAAAGGGUUAAUAAGAUGACGGCUGUGUUGGCAUGAAAUGAUAAUUUUAUGAGAAAGUUAGAAAGCUUUCUAGUGUUAAAGGGACGACAAGACCCUAGAAGCUUAUAGCGGGUAUUAUAGUAUAAGCUAUUUAACUGGGGCGGUUAUUAUUGGAAACAAUAAGAGUGUGAACAUUGUGAAUGGAUUGUGUGAUCUUGAUUUAAACAUGAAGAUAAGCUACUCUAGGGAUAACAGCGCAAUAGAAUCUAAGAGUUCUUAUUGAAGAUUCAGUUGCGACCUCGAUGUUGAAUUAAGUAAUACUACCUGGAGCAACAGAUAGGGGCAGUGAGUUUGUUCAACUCUUAAUUUCUUACAUGAUCUGAGUUCAGACCGG
rnacentral:rRNA from 1 species